UCCAGGCCCUACGGGGCGCAGCAGGCGCGAAACCUCCGCAAUGUGAGAAAUCGCGACGGGGGGAUCCCAAGUGCCAUUCUUAACGGGAUGGCUUUUCAUUAGUGUAAAGAGCUUUUGGAAUAAGAGCUGGGCAAGACCGGUGCCAGCCGCCGCGGUAACACCGGCAGCUCUAGUGGUAGCAGUUAUUAUUGGGCCUAAAGCGUCCGUAGCCGGUUUAAUAAGUCUCUGGUGAAAUCCUGUAGCUUAACUAUGGGAAUUGCUGGAGAUACUAUUAGACUUGAGAUCGGGAGAGGUUAGAGGUACUCCCAGGGUAGAGGUGAAAUUCUGUAAUCCUGGGAGGACCGCCUGUUGCGAAGGCGUCUAACUGGAACGAUUCUGACGGUGAGGGACGAAAGUUAGGGGCGCGAACCGGAUUAGAUACCCGGGUAGUCCUAACUGUAAACGAUGCGGACUUGGUGUUGGGAUGGCUUUGAGCUGUCUCAGUGCCGAAGGGAAGCUGUUAAGUCCGCCGCCUGGGAAGUACGGUCGCAAGACUGAAACUUAGAGGAAUUGGCGGGGGAGCACCACAACGCGUGGAGCCUGCGGUUUAAUUGGACUCAACGCCGGU
rnacentral:rRNA from 1 species